rnacentral:tRNA from 1 species
GGGGAUAUAGCUCAGUUGGUAGAGUGUUUUCCUCCCAUACAAGGUCCUGGGUUCAAUCCCCAGCACCACCA